rnacentral:lncRNA from 1 species
CCUGUUUUGAGCUUCCCACUGCUGCUGGGGCUGCAGCCGGUCUCCGGGAUGAUGGACGAGCACUGACAGGGGAGCGGCAGGGGUGUAGAGGACUCAGGGAGCACAUCGUCCAAACAUCACAAGGAUACAGCAGCCCCCUUUCCGUGCACAGAGGCCUCCGCCCUCCAAGCCCCAGAGGGAAAUGCUUGUCAAAGGUGCCACCUCCUCCAAGAUAACGGAUUUUGGGUUGAGAAGAUAGACUGUGAUACAAACAACAACCAUGAGGACAACAACAACAUCUCGACAACGACAGCAACAAAUGCCAUUUUCGAGGGCCUAAUUCCCGCCACACACUGUGUAAGCACUUCACACGCAUUUCUUGUAAUCCUCACAAAGACCCCAUAUUACCCCAUUUGACAAAUGAAGAGAGGGAGGUGCCACCUGUUCAGGGUCACAUGAUGAGCAUGGAAAGGAUCAGGAAUUCACAUGCAGGUCUGUCUCCUUCCAGAGUGGAUGUCCUUGACCACCAGUCAAGGUCAAAUGAAACGGAAGUGGUCCGCCCCUUAAUUCAGUCAACAGAGGAGCACGCAAAGUUUAUCCAAGGAGAAGUUGGCUAUAAAUUUUUCCGUCUCCACAGCCACCUGGCCCUGGCCCCAAGCUCGGUCAGUGGAUGCUGCUGA